rnacentral:misc_RNA from 1 species
AAGUCGUAACAAGGUUUCCGUAGGUGAACCUGCGGAAGGAUCAUUAACACGUAUCCAAACGUUUAAAAAAAAAAGAAAACCCCCCUGUGAACAUUUGCUUGCUCUUGCAGCCCGCCUGGCUAGAAAAUCCCUGGUAAAUCAUCGCUGAACUAGUUUGAUUCAGGGACCGUCUGGUUGGGUGAGAGCCAUAGCUGCAAUCGAGAGAUCGUGGCAUAACCAAGCCUGCUCCGUAAAGUCCCCUGCGUACGUGAAAGUGGUAUUGGGGUGUAUGUACUGGAGAAACCCUUCUGGAUGAUGGACGGCCACCACGGCAGGAUUACCCCGCUACCAGUCGAAACGACCAACCUGCGCAACCAUUACGUGUUGAGCCCGUGGGCGUCGUAAACCGAAAUACUUGAACAACUGUUAACAAUGGAUAUCUUGGUUCUC